rnacentral:snoRNA from 1 species
AGGUCAUUUUAAAGAAGGUUUUGGAGGCUGCAAAACUCUUAAAAGAUCUUAAUACUAGAACCAAAGACAAGUUUUCCACAAGAUGUCAUAGUCAUUCAAUUAUGCUAUAUUUUCUUGAGCAGAUAUAAAA